rnacentral:rRNA from 1 species
AUUGAACGCUGGCGGCAUGCCUUACACAUGCAAGUCGAACGGCAGCACGGGUGCUUGCACCUGGUGGUGAGUGGCGAACGGGUGAGUAAUACAUCGGAACAUGUCCUGUAGUGGGGGAUAGCCCGGCGAAAGCCGGAUUAAUACCGCAUACGAUCUACGGAUGACAGCGGGGGACCUUCGGGCCUCGCGCUAUAGGGUUGGCCGAUGGCGGAUUAGCUAGUUGGUGGGGUAAAGGCCUACCAAGGCGACGAUCAGUAGCUGGUCUGAGAGGACGACCAGCCACACUGGGACUGAGACACGGCCCAGACUCCUACGGGAGGCAGCAGUGGGGAAUUUUGGACAAUGGGCGAAAGCCUGAUCCAGCAAUGCCGCGUGUGUGAAGAAGGCCUUCGGGUUGUAAAGCACUUUUGUCCGGAAAGAAAUCCUUGGCCCUAAUACGGUCGGGGGAUGACGGUACCGGAAGAAUAAGCACCGGCUAACUACGUG